rnacentral:tRNA from 1 species
AAAGCGCUAGUAAAAUCGUUAAUUACAUUGCUUUGUCAAGGCAAAAUUGUGGGUUAAAUUCCCGCGCACUUUA